rnacentral:rRNA from 1 species
CAGCAGCCGCGGUAAAACGUAGGGUGCGAGCGUUAAUCGGAAUUACUGGGCGUAAAGCGCGCGCAGGCGGUUGUGUAAGACAGGUGUGAAAUCCCCGGGCUUAACCUGGGAACUGCGCUUGUGACUGCACAGCUAGAGUAUGGCAGAGGGGGGUGGAAUUCCACGUGUAGCAGUGAAAUGCGUAGAGAUGUGGAGGAACACCGAUGGCGAAGGCAGCCCCCUGGGCCAAUACUGACGCUCAUGCACGAAAGCGUGGGGAGCGAACAGGAUUAGAUACCCCGGUAGUCCCUGUCUCUUAUAC